AGUACGCUUAAAUCGGAGUAUCAAAAACAAGAAACUGCAUAAAUGUAAUGAAACAAUAUAAGUUCAAACUAAGAUUCAAAACCACAUUGGUAAAAACUAAUGAGAAACUUUUUUGCAGAAAAUUGUUAUCUGGUAUUACUUAGUCUCACCGGUUACAGCACCAGUGCAAUACAGUGCGAGCCUUCAGACAUGAGCUACAAUGUUGAAGACGAGUCAGUGUGUUUCAUUGCACGCGAACCGUUGAAGACUAAUGUACAGUGGAUCAAGUAUAACCUCACGCACGCAUCAGCAGUCAGUGGGGAAAGAACUGAACCCGAUAGCAUAAAUGAACCAGCUGAACCAUCGAAUUUGUUUAGCUGCCAGAAAAAACACAGUUUUUUCUCUUCGUGGAACAUCCUUUACAGUAUUGGCAGACGGCCUGAAAUGAUUACGGUCGGAUUAGUCUGUACUUUUCUCGUGACCAAUGGAGUUUUCACUAUCUACCAAGGAUUCAAGUGCCCGGAACAUUACACAGUUGUGGAUGCUUUUCAAGCUGCGCAUAUUGUGUAUAAGCCACUGAGCGACUGUUUUUUUGACCUGACGGUCGGAAGCGUGUGGUUGGUUGUGGCAUUGCUGUUGGCUGCUUAUAGCAUAAAAGGAGGUACGCUUUUCGGCCCUAUUGAGAAAUGUGACCAAAAUACGAAAUAUGAUGGUAGAAAAGAAAACGUGGGAAAAGAAAUUGAUACCGAAAAUCCACGAAAUCAGACUGAUACGCAAAACCUAGAAAACACUGAUGAGACUUCGUGCUUACUGCUUGCAUGAAAAAUCCGAUGCGAAACACCAGUCAUACUGAAAAACAUUAUAAUUUAUAUUUGAUGUUGAUUUUAUAUAUUUUUUGGAAAGUUAAACUGGAACAA